AUUUUGGAGAGUUUGAUCUCGGCUCAGGAUAAACGCUGGCGGCGUGCUUUAUGCAUGCAAGUCGUACGGUCAUAAGUAAUUGUGACAGUGGCGAAUGGGUGAGUAACACGUAAGUAACCUGCCCUUAAGUGGGGGAUAACUCUGAGAAAUCGGAGUUAAUACCGCGUGUGAUGUUGGAGCGUUGGCUUCAACAUUAAAGCCGUAAGGCGCUUGAGGAGGGGCUUGCGUCCGAUUAGCUAGUUGGUGAGGUAACGGCCCACCAAGGCGAUGAUCGGUAGCUGGUUCGAGAGGACGACCAGCCACACUGGAACUGAGACACGGUCCAGACUCCUACGGGAGGCAGCAGCAAGGAAUAUUGCGCAAUGGACGAAAGUC
rnacentral:rRNA from 1 species